CCUACGGGAGGCAGCAGUGGGGAAUUUUGGACAAUGGGCGCAAGCCUGAUCCAGCAAUGCCGCGUGCAGGAUGAAGGCCUUCGGGUUGUAAACUGCUUUUGUACGGAACGAAACGGCCCUUUCUAAUACAAGGGGCUAAUGACGGUACCGUAAGAAUAAGCACCGGCUAACUACGUGCCAGCAGCCGCGGUAAUACGUAGGGUGCGAGCGUUAAUCGGAAUUACUGGGCGUAAAGCGUGCGCAGGCGGUUAUAUAAGACAGAUGUGAAAUCCCCGGGCUCAACCUGGGACCUGCAUUUGUGACUGUAUAGCUAGAGUACGGUAGAGGGGGAUGGAAUUCCGCGUGUAGCAGUGAAAUGCGUAGAUAUGCGGAGGAACACCGAUGGCGAAGGCAAUCCCCUGGACCUGUACUGACGCUCAUGCACGAAAGCGUGGGGAGCAAACAGGAUUAGAUACCCUGGUAGUCCACGCCCUAAACGAUGUCAACUGGUUGUUGGGUCUUCACUGACUCAGUAACGAAGCUAACGCGUGAAGUUGACCGCCUGGGGAGUCGGCCGCAAGGUUGAAACUCAAAGGAAUUGACGGCNGAGAGNGCGAGACGACGACGAGGGAGGAGG
rnacentral:rRNA from 1 species